rnacentral:lncRNA from 1 species
AAGCGAGGGUGGGUAUGCUGUGUAUGUGGCUGUUCUUUUUUACUCCCUGUUAGAUAAAGCUCAAAUAUCUUUAUAAAUAUGUAACUUGCGUAGGUUAUUUCUAGAAUAACAACAACAAAUUUUUUUUUUAAUUCUUUAAGUUCUCAAACCCAACAUUUGCAAUUUUUAAUUUACAUGUUUUUCUCGUAAGCUUCCGUCAAAUCAAAAGUUGACAUUUUGUAACUAAGGAGCCGUCAUGUUGACUUGCUGAAAUGGGUGAAUAUGCGAAUAAUGCAAUAGAAUAGAAAAUAAAACAAAACCUACCUAAAAAAAUCAGUUUUAAUACAAUAUCAUACGAAUUCCGAUGGUUCACGUAACAGAAAACUUUUAAGUUUAGCGGUUUCAUUUGUAUGACGUCAUGUUUUGAAAUGACUUAAAUGCGCCAAAAAGAUUAAUAGACUUUCGCGGAAUUUUAUUUAAUUUUUAUUUUGUUGAUUUCUCCGAGCUCUUGUGCAAUUACUUCUUUUUAUUAUGCAUACGAAUAAGAAUAAAAGUUAUUUUGUCUUUUUUAAUUGCACUUUUUAAAACAAUAAAAUCGGCAAAGGAUCUGCAAAUAGGUUCCAAUACAUGUAGAUUUACGUGGGAAGUAUAUUGUAACAGCCAUUAUUAUGCAUAUCUCUGAGUCUGCGCUAAGUAUAUUUUAUCGAGAAUUUUAUCACAGUGUUGUUUACAAAGCUAAAGAAGCACGUCAUAUUAGAAUGAUACACAGUAAUGAAA